rnacentral:rRNA from 1 species
UACGUAGGGUGCAAGCGUUAAUCGGAAUUACUGGGCGUAAAGCGUGCGCAGGCGGUGAUGUAAGACAGAUGUGAAAUCCCCGGGCUCAACCUGGGAACUGCAUUUGUGACUGCAUGGCUAGAGUACGGUAGAGGGGGAUGGAAUUCCGCGUGUAGCAGUGAAAUGCGUAGAGAUGUGGCGGAACACCGAUGGCGAAGGCAGCCCCCUGGGUCAAGAUUGACGCUCAGGCACGAAAGCGUGGGGAGCAAACAGG